UAACCAAUCAAGCCCGGCUUGGUGUUGGGCCCCGGGGUGACCCGGGCCUCGAAUCGAUGGGCUGUUGAACAGAGUGGCCGACCGCCUAGCGUAGUGAUUCAAUUCCCGCACAGCGUGACCGCUCUUGCCCUAGCCGAAUUGGUGAAUUUCACCAGCA
rnacentral:misc_RNA from 1 species